rnacentral:rRNA from 1 species
UACAGAGGUGCCAAGCGUUGUUCGGAUUUACUGGGCGUAAAGGGUGCGUAGGUGGCCAGACAAGUCGGAUGUGAAAUCCCGGAGCUUAACUCCGGAAUGGCAUCCGAAACUGUCUGGCUGGAGGUCUGGAGAGGUGACUGGAAUGCUCGGUGUAGCAGUGAAAUGCGUAGAUAUCGAGUAGAACACCAGAGGCGAAAGCGGGUCACUGGACAGAUUCUGACACUGAUGCACGAAAGCCAGGGGAGCAAACGGG